GUGGGGAAUAUUGCACAAUGGGCGAAAGCCUGAUGCAGCAACGCCGCGUGAGGGACGACGGCCUUCGGGUUGUAAACCUCUUUUAGUAGGGAAGAAGCGAAAGUGACGGUACCUGCAGAAAAAGCACCGGCUAACUACGUGCCAGCAGCCGCGGUAAUACGUAGGGUGCAAGCGUUAUCCGGAAUUAUUGGGCGUAAAGAGCUCGUAGGCGGUCUGUCGCGUCUGCUGUGAAAACUGGAGGCUCAACCUCCAGCCUGCAGUGGGUACGGGCAGACUAGAGUGCGGUAGGGGAGAGUGGAAUUCCUGGGGUAGCGGUGGAAUGCGCAGAUAUCAGGAGGAACACCGAUGGCGAAGGCAGAUCUCUGGGCCGUAACUGACGCUGAGGAGCGAAAGCGUGGGGAGCGAACAGGAUUAGAUACCCCAGUAGUCC
rnacentral:rRNA from 1 species